UGCGGGGUAGUGUAACGGCUGCACGUGAGGCCCAUAACCUCAAGGCUAGCGGGUUCGACUCCCGCCCCCGCAA
rnacentral:tRNA from 2 species